CUUUAGAUUUUGUCUAAGAAGCUCUGAACCUGCUUGUGCAUUACAUUAUGUUGUCUGUUCUUUCAACAGGACAAUGUAGGCAUGGUUUAUCUUCCUCCACUGAAAAAACAAUGUAUGGAGAAAGACUCUACAGCCUCUCCAUGUUCUCAGCACACUAUGAAGAGGAUGUGCCCAUGGACCACUGGAGAUUCGGACAAUGAUGUGCUUCAGCCUCCUCCACUUAAGAAACGAUGUGUGAGAAAAGCCCAGUACCUAAAGAGCACACAUGUAAAGGUUAGUGCCUCCUGUCUAUCAUUUUUACAUUUCAUAUUUAUAAAACUAAAACCAAAUAAGUCACUGGAUCUUUUAAAUACUUUGUAUUAUAAUUCGGUACACAUUUUUAUAUGUGACGAGUGUCCUACUUUUCAAUUCAUAAACCCUUGCAUGUUUAACGAUAAAAGUGAUAUGUCUUUUUCCCUUCUUACCAUUUACUAAACCUAUUUUUUUCUGUUUUCUCAACAGGAUUGUGUACGUCAGCGAUUUCCACAAAAACAGCAGAGCAUCAAAUGAAAGAGGACCUUCACCUUCGCACUUUACUACUGUUACUGUGUUUUUUGAUAAUGAAUGAAUCAAUAAAAACC
ensembl:lncRNA